rfam:Tepidimonas fonticaldi strain PL17 contig_6, whole genome shotgun sequence.
GAGGAAUCUAUUGACCGCCAAGCCCGCCCCUUACCGGGGGCGGGGGAGGGCGGCCGAAAAGAGGAAUCU